rnacentral:rRNA from 1 species
GAUGAACGCUGGCGGCGUGCCUAAUACAUGCCAGUCGAGCGAACGGACGAGAAGCUUGCUUCUCUGAUGUUAGCGGCGGACGGGUGAGUAACACGUGGAUAACCUACCUAUAAGACUGGGAUAACUUCGGGAAACCGGAGCUAAUACCGGAUAAUAUUUUGAACCGCAUGGUUCAAAAGUGAAAGACGGUCUUGCUGUCACUUAUAGAUGGAUCCGCGCUGCAUUAGCUAGUUGGUAAGGUAACGGCUUACCAAGGCAACGAUGCAUAGCCGACCUGAGAGGGGAGCCGGCCCCACGGGACGUGAACCACGGCCCGGACCCCUAGGGGGGGCAGCAGGGGGGAAUUUUCCGAAAUGGGGGAAAGCCUGGCGGACCAGCCCGGGGGGGGGGAUGAGGGUCUUGGGAUCGAAAAACCCUUUUUUUGGGGAAAAAAAUAUGUGUAAGUAACUGGGCAGAUCUGGAGGGACCCAAAGAAGAAGGCCCGGCUAAAUUAGUG